UGGGGAAUUUUGCGCAAUGGGCGAAAGCCUGACGCAGCAACGCCGCGUGAGUGAUGAAGGCCUUCGGGUCGUAAAGCUCUGUCGGGAGGGAAGAAGUGGUUGAGGGUUAAUACCCCUUGGUCUUGACGGUACCUCCGAAGGAAGCACCGGCUAACUCCGUGCCAGCAGCCGCGGUAAUACGGAGGGUGCAAGCGUUGUUCGGAAUUAUUGGGCGUAAAGCGCGUGUAGGCGGUUUCUUAAGUCUGAUGUGAAAGCCCCGGGCUCAACCUGGGAAGUGCAUUGGAAACUGCUCGUCUUGAGUACUGGAGAGGAAGGGGGAAUUCCCGGUGUAGAGGUGAAAUUCGUAGAGAUCGGGAGGAAUACCAGUGGCGAAGGCGCCCUUCUGGACGGUAACUGACGCUGAGACGCGAAAGCGUGGGGAGCAAACA
rnacentral:rRNA from 1 species